UACGUAGGGUCCGAGCGUUGGUCCGGAAUUAUUGGGCGUAAAGGGCUCGUAGGCGGUUUGUCACGUCGGGAGUGAAAUUCCACAGCUUAACUGUGGAAUUGCUUCCGAUACGGGCAGACUUGAGGCAUUCAGGGGGAGAACGGAAUUCCUGGUGUAGCGGUGAAAUGCGCGAUAUCAGGAGGAACACCGGUGGCGAAGGCGGUUCUCUGGGAAUGU
rnacentral:rRNA from 1 species